rnacentral:rRNA from 1 species
UACGAAGGGGGCUAGCGUUGCUCGGAAUCACUGGGCGUAAAGGGUGCGUAGGCGGGUCUUCAAGUCAGGGGUGAAAUCCUGGAGCUCAACUCCAGAACUGCCUUUGAUACUGAAGAUCUUGAGUUCGGGAGAGGUGAGUGGAACUGCGAGUGUAGAGGUGAAAUUCGUAGAUAUUCGCAAGAACACCAGUGGCGAAGGCGGCUCACUGGCCCGAUACUGACGCUGAGGCACGAAAGCGUGGGGAGCAAACAGG